rnacentral:rRNA from 1 species
CCUACGGUGCGCUGCAGUCGAGAAUCAUUCACAAUGGGGGAAACCCUGAUGGUGCGACGCCGCGUGGGGGAAUGAAGGUCUUCGGAUUGUAAACCCCUGUCAUGUGGGAGCAAAUUAAAAAGAUAGUACCACAAGAGGAAGAGACGGCUAACUCUGUGCCAGCAGCCGCGGUAAUACAGAGGUCUCAAGCGUUGUUCGGAAUCACUGGGGGUAAAGCGUGCGUAGGCUGUUUCGUAAGUCGUGUGUGAAAGGCGCGGGCUCAACCCGCGGACGGCACAUGAUACUGCGAGACUAGAGUAAUGGAGGGGGAACCGGAAUUCUCGGUGUAGCAGUGAAAUGCGUAGAUAUCGAGAGGAACACUCGUGGCGAAGGCGGGUUCCCGGACAUUAACUGACGCUGAGACACGAAGGCCAGGGGAGCGAAAGGGAUUAGAUACCCGAGUAGUC